AGAGUUUGAUCCUGGCUCAGAACGAACGCUGGCGGCGUGCUUAACACAUGCAAGUCGAGUGCGCGUACUGUAGCAAUACGGUAUGGCGCACGGCGCACGGGUGCGUAACACGUGGGCAAUCUGCCCUUCGAUGGGGAAUAUCUUCGGGAAACCGAAGCGAAUUCCGCAUAACAUUCCUUGGACUUCGGUUCGAGGACUCAAAAGCCGUAAGGCGUCGAAGGAGGAGCCCGCGCACGAUUAGCUAGUUGGUAGGGUAACGGCCUACCAAGGCUUUGAUCGUUAGCUGGUCUGAGAGGAUGGCCAGCCACGCUGGAACUGAGACACGGUCCAGACUCCUACGGGAGGCAGCAGUGGGGAAUCUUGCACAAUGGGCGAAAGCCUGAUCCAGCCAUGCCGCGUGAGUGAUGAAGGCCCUAGGGUUGUAAAGCUCUUUCAACG
rnacentral:rRNA from 1 species